GAUGAACGCUGGCGGCGUGCUUAACACAUGCAAGUCGAACGGAAAGGCUCCUGCUUUCAGGGGUGCUCGAGUGGCGAACGGGUGAGUAACACGUGGGUAAUCUGCCCUGCACUUCGGGAUAAGUCUGGGAAACUGGGGCUAAUACCGGAUAGGAGGAUCUUCUGGAUGCCGUGGUGUGAAGUUUUUCGGUGGGGGAUGAGCUCGCGGCGUAUCAGCUUGUUGGUGGGGUAGUGGCCUACCAAGGCGGCGACGGGUAGCCGGCCUGAGAGGUUGUACGGCCACAUUGGGACUGAGAUACGGCCCAGACUCCUACGGGAGGCAGCAGUGGGGAAUAUUGCACAAUGGGCGGAAGCCUGAUGCAGCGACGCCGCGUGGGGGAUGACGGCCUUCGGGUUGUAAACCGCUUUCGCCAGGGACGAAGCGUGAGUGACGGUAACUGGUGAAGAAGCACCGGCUAACUACGUG
rnacentral:rRNA from 1 species